GUUCCUCACUGGUUCCUUCCGUUUUUACUGCUGUCUGGUCGGCUGUCCGGUCGUGCAUGAUUUCUCCAUGGUUCAAGUUGCCUCCUGCUAGUCUGCUUGAUUCUACCAAGGACCAUCUGUUGGGGCCUGCUUCCUUUUAGUACCUGUGAGGUGUGGGCGUAUCCACUUAUCCAGAACCAUGUUCUAACCUGGAUUUCAUACCUACUGUUUGACCUUCGAUCUCCUUCAUUUAUUGGAUGUCUGGUUUGGCUCCCUAAGACCCCUGGACUCCCGGAUACCCAACCUCCACUGUAACCUCCAUGAACUGUCUGCCUGCCUGGAACCCAAGAAACCAAGAAGCCUUUGUGCCCUCCUGUGGUUGACUGACCUGAGAAAGACCUGAACUUAGUUUGUGCUGUGAAAAUAAACCUUUUUUCUAAAGAACUAUUUUGCUCCUGAGUGAGGUUUUGCUUGUGGGUCAGACAUUUACCUAAAGCGAUGACACCAUCUAAGUUAUUUUUCAAGUGGAGUAACAUGUUUCUUUUUACACUAUCAACAUUCUUCUUUAAACUUUCAUUUGCACUUUAACUCUUUUGUAUAGGCAGGGGAAGGCAUGCAAUAUUGGUAGAUGAUGCUUCAGCAUGACAAAUAGCUACAGUCAUAUUCAGUAAAUUAGAAUUUGCGUUCUGAUGAGACUCCUUUGUUAGAUUGGAACUACGUUUUGAAAACACCAACCUGGAUGUUAUUGGUGCCUAGGAAUUAUAACUUCUAAAACAUUCCUGUUACAGUGAAAAACACAAUCCCCACAGCAUGAUGCGGCCAUCACCAUAUUUCAACAUGAGCAUGGAGUCACGGGGUGUUAGAUUUCCCCCACACAUUGUUUGUUUGUAGGCUAGAAACCUUAAUUUAGUCUUAUUGUACAGGAACACAUUUCUUCCAUGUUAAAGACGGUUUGUGAGGGGCAGCUAAUAGCUGUCCUGCUUUAAACGUCUCACCAACUUUUCCCCUGACCUGCCUGCUCUGUUCCUUGGCCUUCAUGAUGCUUUGUGUUCUCUAAUGUUCUCUUACAGAUCUCUGAGGCCUUCACAAAAUUAAAUUACACACAGGUGCACUCUGUUUAAAAAUAGGUGACUUCGAAGGCAGUUGGUUUUAUUGUAGUUCAUUUAGGUUUAUUGAGUUACAGGGGGCUGAAUGCAUAUGGAUGUCAAACCUUUCAGCUUGUUUUUUGAAAUCUGUUGAAAAUACGUAUGUUUUUCCUUUCGCUUCACUGUAAUGUGCUCUGCACAUACUAUCCCAAUUACACAUAUUGAUGUUUUUCGUUUGAUGUGACACAAUGUGAGAAAGAUCAACAGGGAUAAAUACUAUUACAAGGGUUAGGGUUGUCAUGCCCAUGCUGUAAGGAAUAUGUAAUAUGUGCAAAAUGCUGUUCAUAUAAAUCUUUUUACCAGUUUUGUGUUGUUACCAACUGUGGUUGAUGAUCAAAUUCUUUUGUCUUUGUUUGUGUGUCAAUGUUUUAAAAUAUAGAAAUGUGUUCCUGUUGUUUCUUUAAAAUUUGCA